UCAGCAGACAGGUCCUUUUGGCUAAGGUCAUGUGCAGUAUCUGUUCUUAUCAGUUUAAUACCUGAUAUGUCCUCGAUAUGAGGACGCUGUAAUAAGCGUCGGUUUGGAGUCGGGAGGUGGGUUGGAAGCUUGCUCCUUCCCCACUCACUGGGCCGGUAUUGUUUUAGAGAAGCAGCGUGGCUCAGAGGAAA